CUCUUUCCUACCUCUCUAGCACAUUACUUUCUUAAUACCAUGAAGUUCUUGUGGUUCUUGUUGUCUUUGGUGGCCAUUACAAAAGGGGUCUUCUCAGAUGUUCAACUUGUAUCAUCUGGGCCAGGAAUGGUGAGACCAGGAGAGGACCUCAGCCUGCUCUGUAAAGUCACAGGUUUCUCCAUCUCCACUCAGUCUUCUGUCUGGCACUGGUUCCGUCAAGCUGCUGGAAAAGGUCUAGAAUGGAUUACAGCAGUACACCCCUAUGAUGGGACUAAGUGGUAUGCCCCUUCUCUGAAGAGCCGAAUAACCAUUUCUUCAGAUUCUUCCAAGAACGAGUUUUCUCUCCAGCUGAACACUCUGGCAGCUGCCGACUCUGCAGUGUAUUUUUGUGCCAGGCAAUACACAGUGAGACACAGCAAUUGGUGCUGUGUACAAAAAGAGGAAACUGAUUUUGAAUGCAGAAAUGUGGUUCUAAUAAAUGACGAUCAAUAA